AGAGUUUGAUUAUGGCUCAGAACGAACGUUGGCGGCGCGUUUUAAGCAUGCAAGUCGAGCGGCAAGGGUCUUCGGGCCCCUAGAGCGGCGGACGGGUGGGUAACACGUGGACAAUCUGCCCCCCGGCCGGGGAUAGCCCAGGGAAACCUGGACUAAUACCGGAUGAGACAGGACCCGCGGAGGCGGGAUCCGGGAAAGGCGCUGCGGCGCCGCCGGGGGAUGAGUCUGCGUCCCAUUAGCUUGACGGCGGGGUAACGGCCCACCGUGGCGACGAUGGGUAGCCGGCCUGAGAGGGUGUACGGCCACAUUGGAACUGAGACACGGUCCAGACUCCUACGGGAGGCAGCAGCUAAGAAUCUUCCGCAAUGGGCGAAAGCCUGACGGAGCGACGCCGCGUGAACGAAGAAGGCCGUGAGGUUGUAAAGUACUUUUCGGGAGGGGGAACAACCGUGGCAGGGAAUGGCCGCGGGAUGACGUGAAUCCCGGAAUAAGCCCCGGCUAACUACGUGCCAGCAGCCGCGGUAACACGUAGGGGGCGAGCGUUGUUCGGAAUCAUUGGGCGUAAAGGGCGUGCAGGCGGUCCUGCAAGUCCGGCGUGAAAGACCCCGGCCCAACCGGGGGGGCGCGCUGGAAACUGCAGGGCUUGAGUACAGGAGGGGAUGCCGGAAUUCCAGGUGUAGGGGUGAAAUCUGUAGAUAUCUGGAGGAACACCAAUGGCGAAGGCAGGCAUCUGGCCAUGUACUGACGCUGAGACGCGAAGGUGCGGGGAGCAAACAGGAUUAGAUACCCUGGUAGUC
rnacentral:rRNA from 1 species